UAUUAGGCCCAAAAUGAAAGUACCAGUCAAACAGCUAGAAAAACAGUUAACCCUUUGUGCCAGAAUGGCUCAAUAGUUUGAAUAAAGGCCGACUGAAAAUAUGAUUUGUAGCCAAAAAUUCGUAAAAUGCAAUCAAACAAAAAUUGCCU